rnacentral:rRNA from 1 species
AGUGAACGCUGGCGGUAGGCCUAACACAUGCAAGUCGAACGGCAGCACAGUAAGAGCUUGCUCUUACGGGUGGCGAGUGGCGGACGGGUGAGGAAUACAUCGGAAUCUACUUUUUCGUGGGGGAUAACGUAGGGAAACUUACGCUAAUACCGCAUACGACCUACGGGUGAAAGCAGGGGAUCUUCGGACCUUGCGCGAUUGAAUGAGCCGAUGUCGGAUUAGCUAGUUGGCGGGGUAAAGGCCCACCAAGGCGACGAUCCGUAGCUGGUCUGAGAGGAUGAUCAGCCACACUGGAACUGAGACACGGUCCAGACUCCUACGGGAGGCAGCAGUGGGGAAUAUUGGACAAUGGGCGCAAGCCUGAUCCAGCCAUACCGCGUGGGGGAAGAAGGCCUUCGGGUUGUAAAGCCCUUUUGUUGGGAAAGAAAAGCAGCAGGUUAAUACCCCGCUGUUCUGACGGUACCCAAAGAAUAAGCACCGGCUAGCUUCGUG